rnacentral:rRNA from 1 species
ACAGCAGCAGCCGCGGUAAUACGUAGGGUGCGAGCGUUAAUCGGAAUUACUGGGCGUAAAGCGUGCGCAGGCGGUUAUAUAAGACAGUUGUGAAAUCCCCGGGCUCAACCUGGGAACUGCAUCUGUGACUGUAUAGCUAGAGUACGGUAGAGGGGGAUGGAAUUCCGCGUGUAGCAGUGAAAUGGGUAGAUAUGCGGAGGAACACCGAUGGCGAAGGCAAUCCCCUGGACCUGUACUGACGCUCAUGCACGAAAGCGUGGGGAGCAAACAGGAUUAGAUACCCCAGUAGUCCCUGUCUCUUAUAC